GCCUGGGUGGCUCAGUCGGUUGAGCAUCCGACUUCAGCUCGGGUCAUGAUCUCACAGUUUGUGGGUUCGAGCCCCACAUCAGGCU
rnacentral:tRNA from 1 species